AUUGAACGCUGGCGGCAGGCCUAACACAUGCAAGUCGAGCGGAUGACGGGAGCUUGCUCCUUGAUUCAGCGGCGGACGGGUGAGUAAUGCCUAGGAAUCUGCCUGGUAGUGGGGGACAACGUUUCGAAAGGAACGCUAAUACAGCAUACGUCCUACGGGAGAAAGCAGGGGACCUUCGGGCCUUGCGCUAUCAGAUGAGCCUAGGUCGGAUUAGCUAGUUGGUGGGGUAAUGGCUCACCAAGGCGACGAUCCAUAACUGGUCUGAGAGGAUGAUCAGUCACACUGGAACUGAGACACGGUCCAGACUCCUACGGGAGGCAGCAGUGGGGAAUAUUGGACAAUGGGCGAAAGCCUGAUCCAGCCAUGCCGCGUGUGUGAAGAAGGUCUUCGGAUUGUAAAGCACUUUAAGUUGGGAGGAAGGGCAGUAAGCUAAUACCUUGCUGUUUUGACGUUACCGACAGAAUAAGCACCGGCUAACUCUGUGCCAGCCGCCGCGGUAACAC
rnacentral:rRNA from 1 species